rnacentral:rRNA from 1 species
AACGCUGGCGGCGUGCUUAAUCAAUGCAAGUCAACUUGACUUUAGAUAGCAAUAUCGAAAAGUAGGGUGGCGCACGGGUGCGUAACGCGUAGGUAAUCUGCCCUGAGGUCUGACAUAACCCGUCGAAAGGCGGGCUAACAUCAGAUGAUAUAUAAUCACGACAUCGUGGAAAUAUUAAAUCUUCGGAGCCUUGGGAUGAGCCUGCGUCUGAUUAGGUAGUUGGCGGAGUAAUAGCCCACCAAGCCUACGAUCAGUAGCUGGUCUGAGAGGAUGAUCAGCCACACUGGAACUGAGACACGGUCCAGACUCCUACGGGAGGCAGCAGUAAGGAAUAUUGCUCAAUGGGGGGAAACCCUGAAGCAGCAACGCCGCGUGAAGGAUGAAAUACUUUGUAUGUAAACUUCUGUAAGAUGGGAAAAAUAUUCUCCUCGGGAGAAUUGAUUGUACCAUCAGAGUAAGCCCCGGCUAACUACGUG